GGAAUUUUCCGCAAUGGGCGAAAGCCUGACGGAGCAAUACCGCGUGAGGGAUGAAGGAUUUUGGUCUGUAAACCUCUUUUCUCAAGAAAGAAGUUCUGACGGUACUUGAGGAAUAAGCAUCGGCUAACUCCGUGCCAGCAGCCGCGGUAAUACGGGGGAUGCAAGCGUUAUCCGGAAUCAUUGGGCGUAAAGCGCCUGUAGGUUGUUUAAUAAGUCUGUUGUUAAAGACUAGGGCUUAACCCUAGAAAAGCAAUGGAAACUACUAGACUAGAGUAUGGCAGGGGUAGAGGGAAUUUCUAGUGUAGCGGUGAAAUGCGUAGAUAUUAGGAAGAACACCGGUGGCGAAAGCGCUCUACUGGACCAUUACUGACACUCAGAGGCGAAAGCUAGGGUAGCAAAAGGGAUUAGAUACCCCUGUAGUCCUAGCCGUAAACGAUGGAUACUAGAUGUUGUAUUUAUUUUACAGUAUCGUAGCUAACGCGUUAAGUAUCCCGCCUGGGGAGUACGCUCGCAAGGGUGAAACUCAAAGGAAUUGACGGGGGCCCGCACAAGCGGUGGAGCAUGUGGUUUAAUUCGAUGCAACGCGAAGAACCUUACCAAGGCUUGACAUACUACAAAUUUUUCUGAGAAGAAAAAGUGCCUUCGGGAAUGUAGAUACAGGUGGUGCAUGGCUGUCGUCAGCUCGUGUCGUGAGAUGUUGGGUUAAGUCCCGCAACGAGCGCAACCCUUAUUUUUAGUUACUAAUUCGUUAGGUUCUCUAGAAAGACUGCCGGUGACAAACCGGAGGAAGGUGAGGAUGACGUCAAGUCAGCAUGCCCCUUAUGUCCUGGGCUACACACGUGCUACAAUGGUGA
rnacentral:rRNA from 1 species